GAAAUGCGAUACGUAAUGUGAAUUGCAGAUUCGUGACUCAUCGAAAUUUUGAACGCACAUUGCACCUGGUGGCAUUCCACUAGGUAUGCUUGUUUGAGUGUCUGUCCAUUUUCCUCACACGCUUGCUGUGGACUUGAUCUUUUUUUUUUUUUCCAUCCGUGAUGGGAAGAGAUCUAAAUGGAUUCAGUGACCUUGUCGCCGAUUCCCCUUCUCUUUUUUUUUGGGAGGGGGGGAAUAAAGGGGCAACUAUCCAUGUCAAUAGGGGCCUUUUGCGCUCCUUUGAUUUGGGUAUCCUGCUUCUCAAAAAAGAAAAUCGACGAAGGAGGUUGCUGCCAAAAAAAUUGCACUAUUUUUUUUUGGACCUCAAAUCAAGCAAGAUUACCCGCUGAACUUAAGC
rnacentral:misc_RNA from 1 species